CCUACGGGAGGCAGCAGUGGGGAAUAUUGCACAAUGGGGGAAACCCUGAUGCAGCAACGCCGCGUGAAGGAUGACGGUUUUCGGAUUGUAAACUUCUUUUCUUAGUGACGAAGACAGUGACGGUAGCUAAGGAAUAAGCAUCGGCUAACUACGUGCCAGCAGCCGCGGUAAUACGUAGGAUGCAAGCGUUAUCCGGAUUUACUGGGUGUAAAGGGAGCGCAGGCGGGACUGCAAGUUGGAUGUGAAAUACCGUGGCUUAACCACGGAACUGCAUCCAAAACUGUAGUUCUUGAGUGAAGUAGAGGCAAGCGGAAUUCCGAGUGUAGCGGUGAAAUGCGUAGAUAUUCGGAGGAACACCAGUGGCGAAGGCGGCUUGCUGGGCUUUAACUGACGCUGAGGCUCGAAAGUGUGGGGAGCAAACAGGAUUAGAUACCCUGGUAGUCCACACUGUAAACGAUGAUAGCUAGGUGUGGGGGGUCUGACCCCUUCCGUGCCGGAGUUAACGCAAUAAGCUAUCCACCUGGGGAGUACGACCGCAAGGUUGAAACUCAAAGGAAUUGACGGGGGCCCGCACAAGCAGUGGAGUAUGUGGUUUAAUUCGAAGCAACGCGAAGAACCUUACCAGGUCUUGACAUCCGAUGCAUAGCACAGAGAUGUGUGAAAUCCUUCGGGACAUCGAGACAGGUGGUGCAUGGUUGUCGUCAGCUCGUGUCGUGAGAUGUUGGGUUAAGUCCCGCAACGAGCGCAACCCCUAUUGUUAGUUGCUACGCAAGAGCACUCUAGCGAGACUGCCGUUGACAAAACGGAGGAAGGUGGGGACGACGUCAAAUCAUCAUGCCCCUUAUGACCUGGGCUACACACGUAAUACAAUGGCCGUUAACAGAGGGAAGCAAAGCGGUGACGCAGAGCAAAACCCUAAAAACGGUCCCAGUUCGGACUGUAGGCUGCAACCCGCCUACACGAAGUUGGAAUUGCUAGUAAUCGCGGAUCAGCAUGCCGCGGUGAAUACGUUCCCGGGCCUUGUACACACCGCCCGUCACACCAUGAGAGCCGGGGGGACCCGAAGUCGGUAGUCUAACCGCAAGGAGGACGCCGCCGAAGGUAAAACUGGUGAUUGGGGUGAAGUCGUAACAAGGUAGCCGUAGGAGAACCUGCGGCUG
rnacentral:rRNA from 1 species